UCUACCCCCUUGUGGGAGGAGGAUGCCGAAGGCAGGGCUGAUGACUGGGGUGAAGUCGUAACAAGGUAGCCGUAGCGGAAGCUGUGGCUGGAUCACCUCCUUAACAGGGAGACCUACCCGCUCUGAGACUUGAACGCGUAAAGCAAAUCAGGCAAGAGUUGGUCAUCCCAAGGUCGGUCGAGAUUGGGAAGCGAGCUUUCAAACUAGUUUUGGUUCUUUUUUGAACCUAGUGGGCAUAAACCGGACUGCAAAAGCCGGAAUAUGCCCACUGAGGUUUUCCCACUGCUUGGCUAAAGUAGUAGAAGUGGGAAUGAGUUAGCCCGUUGAGCGAGUUAACGGAUACUAACUUAUAAGCAUUGAACGACACUCAAUAAAGAAACAACUUCAGCACCUCAUUUAGUGGAAUGUUUGGUAUACUAAAGAGCCUGCUGGAAUUGUAUUCCAGAUAGAACCUUGAAAAUUGCAUAGCAACUUGUCAGGUAGUUAGUCAAUCCUGAGUUUUGACUCGGUUUUGACUAAACACAGACACCAAUGUAAGAAAUUGUGGUCAAGCUACAAAGGGCUUACGGU
rnacentral:misc_RNA from 1 species